GUGGAUGAGGAGGUUUUUGAGCUCCUUUUGAAAAGUCCAAACCUUGGUGUGCUGGAAAUUUGUGAAGCACAAGAUCUCCAUCCAGAAGAUAAUCCUAUGGAUCAGCUAAGCUGUGCAGCAAGCAGCUCCUUCACCAGCUCCAGUGGAGAAACUGAAGUGGACUCCGAUGACACCAUUAUAUUGCAACACAGUCCUGUAACAAGACAUAGAGCUGAAGACACCUCUCUUGCCCAAAUGAUUGAAAAUGUUCUAAAGAACAAACCAGGAGGAGACAGGAUCGUCAAUGAAUAUGCGCGGACA